UACGUAGGGCGCGAGCGUUGUCCGGAAUUAUUGGGCGUAAAGGGCUCGUAGGCGGUUUGUCGCGUCUGCUGUGAAAACCUAAGGCUCAACCUUGGGCUUGCAGUGGGUACGGGCAGACUAGAGUGCGGUAGGGGUGACUGGAAUUCCUGGUGUAGCGGUGGAAUGCGCAGAUAUCAGGAGGAACACCGGUGGCGAAGGCGGGACUCUGGGCCGAUACUGACGCUGAGGAGCGAAAGCGUGGGGAGCGAACAGG
rnacentral:rRNA from 1 species